rnacentral:rRNA from 1 species
GGAGUUCUGAACUUUCGCGGCCGGAGCAAAAGUGUUAAGUGCACCGCCUGGGGAGUACGGUCGCAAGGCUAAAACUCAAAGGAAUUGGCGGGGGCUCACACAAGCGGUGGAGGAUGUGGCUCAAUUCGAAGCAACGCGAAGAACCUUAUCCUGGGUUUGACAUGCACGGAUGAAACCUGUGAAAGCAGGGGACUGCCCGCAAGGGUGAAACGUGCACAGGUGCUGCAUGGCUGUCGUCAGCUCGUGCUGUGAAGUGUCGGGUUAAGUCCCUUAACGAGCGAAACCCUUGUCGUUAGUUACCAGCGGGUCAUGCCGGGAACUCUAACGAGACUGCCGGUGUUAAACCGGAGGAAGGUGGGGAUGACGUCAAGUCCUCAUGGCCUUUAUGCCCAGGGCUGCACACGUCCUACAAUGGGGUGAACAGAGGGUUGCUAAACCGCGAGGUCACGCUAAUCCCUUAAAACACCUCUCAGUCCGGAUUGCAGGCUGCAAUUCGCCUGCAUGAAGUUGGAAUCGCUAGUAAUCGCGGAUCAGCAUGCCGCGGUGAAUGUGUUCCUGAGCCUUGUACACACCGCCCGUCAAGCCAUGGAAGCUGGUAGUACCCGAAGUCGCUGACCCAACCCUUCGGGGAGGGAGGUGCCGACGGUAAGACCGGUGACUGGGGCUAAGUCGUAACAAGGUAGCCG